rnacentral:rRNA from 1 species
UGAAGGUGAACGAGGGUUUAACUGUCUCCCAUUUUAAGUCAAUGAAAUUGAUCUGCCCGUGCAGAAGCGGACAUACAAAUACAAGACGAGAAGACCCUUUGGAGCUUAAGAUAUAAGACCAACUAUGUCAAUAAACCAAUCAACUAGGUAGUACCUGGUCCCAGUCUUCAGUUGGGGCGACCACGGGAGAAAGUAAAGCUCCCACGCGGACUGGGACAACCAUCCCAAAACCCAGAGAGACAGCUCUAAGUCACAGAACUUCUGACCAAAAGAUCCGGCCAUCCGCCGACCAACGAACCAAGUUACCCUAGGGAUAACAGCGCAAUCCCCUUUCAGAGUCCAUAUCGACAAGGGGGUUUACGACCUCGAUGUUGGAUCAGGACAUCCUAAUGGUGUAG